rnacentral:rRNA from 1 species
GAUGAACGCUGGCGGCGUGCCUAAUACAUGCAAGUCGAGCGAACGGACGAGAAGCUUGCUUCUCUGAUGUUAGCGGCGGACGGGUGAGUAACACGUGGAUAACCUACCUAUAAGACUGGGAUAACUUCGGGAAACCGGAGCUAAUACCGGAUAAUAUUUUGAACCGCAUGGUUCAAAAGUGAAAGACGGUCUUGCUGUCACUUAUAGAUGGAUCCGCGCUGCAUUAGCUAGUUGGUAAGGUAACGGCUUACCAAGGCAACGAUGCAUAGCCGACCUGGGAGGGGGGACGGCCAACCUGGAACUGGGACCCGGUCCGGACCCCUAGGGGAGGCAGCAGUGGGGAAUCUUCCGCAAGGGGGGAAAGCCUGACGGAGCAACGCCGGGUGGGUGAUGAAGGGCUUCGGAUCGUAAAACUCUGUUAUUAGGGAAGAAAAAUUGUGUAAGUAACUGGGCACAUCUUGACGGUACCUAAUCAAAAAGCCACGGCUAACUACGU